rnacentral:tRNA from 1 species
AAAAGAGAAGCAUAAUGGUUAUGUGAUUGACUUGAAAUCGAGAUGUGGUGGUUCGAUUCCACCUUCUUUUG